UUUAAUUAGCUGCAAUUCAGAAAUUUUUUCUACAGAUUUAAAUACAAAGUUUUUAAAGAGGGUAGCUCUCAAUGGGGCAAAGAAGCCAGUAUAUGUUUUAAUAUUUCUUUAAUCAAGAAUUUAAUUGGCCUAGGAUUUUUCUCCGAAAAUCCAAACCAGAAAUUCGUGCUGUUUCAAAAUUUAAUUUAAAUAUAUGGUGGAAAUUUGUAAUUAAUAUUAAGGAGCCGUUCAGGUAUUACAUUCCAAUUAAAAACAUCAUGAAACAUCUGAUUAUUUUAUUUCUAGUCUAUGGUUCGCUAAUCAAUGCUUCAUCGGUACGCCUUGGGAUGGACACAGAUAGACGCCAGCUCACAUUGCGAUACAAGAUACUCCCAGAUAUACCGUUUAUUGGAAACUUUUGUUAUUGCCGUGAUUAUAAUAUGAGAAAAU